UCCGGGGCUGCACGCGCGCUACAAUGAAGGUAGCAAUGUGCUUGUUGUCCUCGCCCGAAAGGGCUUGGUAAACACCAAUUAUUUUCGUGCUUGGGAUAGGGAAUUGAAAUUAUUUCCCUUGAACGAGGAAUUUCUAGUAAAUGCGAGUCAUAAGCUCGUGUUGAUUACGUCCCUGCCCUUUGUACACACCGCCCGUCGCUACUACCGAUUGGAGGAUUCAGUGAAAAAUAUGGACUGUGUCCGGGACGGUGUAACAACUGCUCUGGUACGUGGGAAGUGUAUUGAACUGAACUCUCUAGAGGAAGUAAAAGUCGUAACAAGGUUUCC
rnacentral:rRNA from 1 species